rnacentral:rRNA from 1 species
AGGACGAACGCUGGCGGCGUGCUUAACACAUGCAAGUCGAGCGGAAAGGCCCUUCGGGGUACUCGAGCGGCGAACGGGUGAGUAACACGUGAGUAAUCUGCCCAUCGCUUCAGGAUAGCCAUCGGAAACGGUGAUUAAUACUGGAUAUGACAUUCCUUCGCAUGUUGGGGUGUGGUAAAGUUUUUUCGGCGGUGGAUGUGCUCGCGGCCUAUCAGCGUUGGUUGGUGGGGUAAUGGGCCUACCAAGGCUUUGACGGGUACGCCGGCCUGAGGAGGGUCGACCGGCCACACGUGGGACUGAGACACGGCCCAGACCUCCGUACGGGAGGCCAGGCAGGUGGGAAAUAGUUGGAACAAGUGGGACGGAAGCCUAGAUCCAAGCGAACGCCGCGUAGGAGGAGUCGACCGGGCCGUUCCGGGUUA